rnacentral:rRNA from 1 species
AACUUGAGAGUUUGAUCAUGGCUCAGAACGUACGCUGGCGGCACGCCUAACACAUGCAAGUCGAACGAAGUAGCAAUACUUAGUGGCAGACGGGUGAGUAACAUGUAGGUAUCUACCCUUUGGCCUGGAAUAACACGAGGAAACUUGUGCUAAUACCGGAUAAGUCUUUACGGAGAAAGCUUUAUGCACCAUUGGAUGAGCCUGCACUUGAUUAGUUUGUUGGUGGGGUAAUGGCCUACCAAGACUGUGAUCAAUAGCUGAUUUGAGAGGAUGAUCAGCCACAUUGGGACUGAGACACGGCCCAAACUCCUACGGGAGGCAGCAGUGGGGAAUCUUGCACAAUGGAGGAAACUCUGAUGCAGCGAUGCCGCGUGAGUGAAGAAGGCCCUUGGGUUGUAAAGCUCUUUCGUCGGGGAAGAAAAUGACUGUACCCGAAUAAGAAGGUCCGGCUAACUUCGUGCCAGCAGCCGCGGUAAUACGAAGGGACCUAGCGUAGUUCGGAAUUACUGGGCUUAAAGAGUUCGUAGGUGGUUGAAAAAGUUAGUGGUGAAAUCCCAGAGCUUAACUCUGGAACUGCCAUUAAAACUUUUCAGCUAGAGUAUGAUAGAGGAAAGCAGAAUUUCUAGUGUAGAGGUGAAAUUCGUAGAUAUUAGAAAGAAUACCAAUUGCGAAGGCAGCUUUCUGGAUCAUUACUGACACUGAGGAACGAAAGCAUGGGUAGCGAAGAGGAUUAGAUACCCUCGUAGUCCAUGCCGUAAACGAUGUGUGUUAGACGUUGGAAAUUUAUUUUCAGUGUCGCAGCGAAAGCGAUAAACACACCGCCUGGGGAGUACGACCGCAAGGUUAAAACUCAAAUGAAUUGACGGGGACCCGCACAAGUAGUGGAGCAUGUGGUUUAAUUCGAAGAUACGCGCAGAACCUUACCAACACUUGACAUGUUCGUCGCGACUCUAAGAGAUUAGAGUUUUCGGUUCGGCCGGACGAAACACAGGUGCUGCAUGGCUGUCGUCAGCUCGUGUCGUGAGAUGUUGGGUUAAGUCCCGCAACGAGCGCAACCCUCACUUUUAGUUGCCAUCAUUUAGUUGGGCACUCUGAAAGAACUGCCAGUGAUAAGCUGGAGGAAGGUGGGGAUGACGUCAAGUCCUCAUGGCCCUUACGUGUUGGGCUACACACGUGCUACAAUGGUAUCUACAACAGGAAGCAAGACUGCGAGGUCAAGCAAAUCCUUAAAAGAUACCUCAGUUCGGAUUGCACUCUGCAACUCGAGUGCAUGAAGCUGGAAUUACUAGUAAUCGUGGAUCAGCGUGCCACGGUGAAUGCGUUCCCGGGUCUUGUACACACCGCCCGUCACACCAUGGGAGUUGGUUCUACCUUAAGGCAAGGUUUAAAACCCUUGACCACGGUAUAGUCAGCGACUGGGGUGAAGUCGUAACAAGGUAGCCGUAGGGGAACCUGCGGCUGGAUUACCUCCUU